GAAGGACUGAUUGUAAUCAGGAGGUAACUGCACACAGGUGGCUGACUCUGGAACUCUCACACUGGUUUUUGACCAUGCAGUAAUGACAACAAGGCGAGGUCACCUGCUGAAAGCGGAUGUCCAUGUCGAAGUUUUACUGGCAGCUCUCCAUCUCUUUGUCUCCUUCCUUCUCUGAGCUGCACAUGACAACCAGAAAG